GCGGGAUACGUCCCGCAGGAAUGUGGCCCCUUCAAAGGCUGAACCGUGAA
rnacentral:ncRNA from 1 species